GUCAGGGACUCCUAGUUGAGUGCAAACCCCACGAAUAAAUUCGUUGGCUCUGCAGUUAACGCAACCUGACCAGCUUCAGUCCAUUACUGGACUACGUUUAGAGAAAGUGCUAAAAGUCCCACCUACAAAUGCUUGCCAGUUUGUAGCUCUGGA
rnacentral:sRNA from 19 species